rnacentral:rRNA from 1 species
AUUGAACGCUGGCGGCAGGCCUAACACAUGCAAGUCGAGCGGAGCGGCGGACGGGUGAGUAAUGCCUAGGAAUCUGCCUGGUAGUGGGGGAUAACGUCCGGAAACGGGCGCUAAUACCGCAUACUAUCAGAUGAGCCUAGGUCGGAUUAGCUAGUUGGUGGGGUAAAGGCCUACCAAGGCGACGAUCCGUAACUGGUCUGAGAGGAGGAUCAGUCAAACUGGAACUGAGACACGGUCCGAGGGCCUACGGGGGGCAGCAGUGGGGAAUAUUGGACAAUUGGCGGAAGCCUGGUCCAACCGUGCCGCGUGUUUGAAGAAGGUCUUCGGAUUGUAAAGGACUUUUAGUUGGGAGGCGUUACCAACAGGAUAAGCGCCGGCUAACUUCGUGCCAGGAGCCGCGGUAAUAC